ACACUCCUGCGGGAGGCAGCAGUGGGGAAUAUUGGACAAUGGGCGCAAGCCUGAUCCAGCCAUGCCGCGUGAGUGAUCAAGGCCCUAGGGUUGUAAAGCUCUUUCACCGGUGAAGAUAAUGACGGUAACCGGAGAAGAAGCCCCGGCUAACUUCGUGCCAGCAGCCGCGGUAAUACGAAGGGGGCUAGCGUUGUUCGGAUUUACUGGGCGUAAAGCGCACGUAGGCGGACUAUUAAGUCAGGGGUGAAAUCCCGGGGCUCAACCCCGGAACUGCCUUUGAUACUGGUAGUCUUGAGUUCGAGAGAGGUGAGUGGAAUUCCGAGUGUAGAGGUGAAAUUCGUAGAUAUUCGGAGGAACACCAGUGGCGAAGGCGGCUCACUGGCUCGAUACUGACGCUGAGGUGCGAAAGCGUGGGGAGCAAACAGGAUUAGAUACCCGAGUAGUCCCAU
rnacentral:rRNA from 1 species